rnacentral:rRNA from 1 species
UACGGGGGGAGCAAGCGUUGUUCGGAUUUACUGGGCGUAAAGGGCGCGUAGGCGGCGCGACAAGUCACUUGUGAAAUCUCCGGGCUUAACUCGGAGCGGCCAAGUGAUACUGUCGUGCUAGAGUGCGGAAGGGGCAACUGGAAUUCUCGGUGUAGCGGUGAAAUGCGUAGAUAUCGAGAGGAACACCUGCGGCGAAGGCGGGUAGCUGGGCCGACACUGACGCUGAGGCGCGAAAGCCAGGGGAGCGAACGGG